rnacentral:tRNA from 1 species
GGCCCAGUAGCUCAGUCGGUUUAGAGCGCUAGCCUGUCACGCUAGAGGUCGAGGGUUCGAGCCCCUUCUGGGUCGCCA